rnacentral:lncRNA from 1 species
GAUGAACUUUUCAAUGGGGCAGGUGAAUCAUCAACAGGUGCAGGUGCACUUCUCUUAGGUGGAGGUAUAGGUGAAAUUGCAGGAGCAUGGACAUCAUGGUGGUGGUGGUGGUGUUGGUGGUGGUGGUGGUGGUGGUGUUGGUGGUGGUGGUGAGGAAGAGAAGUAGGAGAAGGUGAAGGGGCACUGCCUUCACCACCAUGGAGUGAAUGUUGCAAUAUAGAUGAUAGACGAACUUGCUUCACUCUACCAAAAAUAGUGUUAUUCAGGCCAAGAUUCUUAGAAUUACCCCUGAUAGUUUGAGCCAGUU